rnacentral:tRNA from 1 species
GCGGGCGUGGCGGAAUUGGCAGACGCGUAUGGCUUAGGACCAUAUACUGCAAGGUGUGGGGGUUCAAGUCCCUCCGCCCGCA